AAAUAAGAUACGUUCAGAAUUAAUGGGAUUGGUGUCUCAGACCCAGAAAUGAAGAUAAAGGUACUAAUUGGAUGCCCAAGCCACAAAGUCAAACUCUAAAUUCCGAAAUAAAUCAGAAGUGGUACAGACUGCAGAAAGUAAGUUCUGUGAUAUAAAUCUUAGCAGAGAAGCAAACUAUAAGGCAUGUCAUUUGACUAGAACUGAAAAGAAAACAUAACUUAAAAUAGAGCUUACUUGUGUCGCCUUUAUUGGGUA
rnacentral:misc_RNA from 1 species